AUGGGCAGCACCUUGGCCUGCGCACCUCAGCCCCUGUUCUUCUUGCAGGUGCCUGCAGAGGGAGAUGCCCAAGGCAGCAGCACGUUGACAGACCACAGAUGGAAACCACAGACAACGGUGAAGUCACAUGUGAGUACUACCUCCUCCCUCGGGGGAAGCCAUAUACCUGUCUUAGGUGGAAUCCCAGUACUUCAUUUCCCACUGGGACAUACAAAAUCCCUGCCUGUUCAUCAAGGCCAGGUUUCUCUCCAGCACCUCAUGUUCUGCUUCUUCCUUACAUGCAGAGCGUGGCUGCUGGCUGCACAAUGGACAUGGCACUAUCCAUGUGCUGCCAGGGACAAAGCCCAUUUGCUUGGGGGAUCCUUCUACACCAGAUCCAGCCCCAGGCUGCAUUUCCGCUGCUUCAGCCUCUGCAUUUGUCCUUUCUUCAGUUUCUCUUCAGUGUCAUUUCUGCUUCAAGAACUACACAAAGUACAUCACAGCAACGAAAGCUGUAGCUCUGUUUCCUUGCACUGCUGGGGAAAACAUUUUAGAGUUUGCUCUGAAACCACAGGCAGCAGCCAAGGGAGGAUGUUGUGGUUGGGUGACAGGCUACAGAUAUAUCCCCAUCCUACAUGCACUGUGCUCGAAUUGCAACUUGACCUUGUUUACCCAUGCCUGCACAGAGCAGUUUGCAAGGUGUGCAGGCUGUGCAGAGAGAGGAGAUGCCUCAGAAUGUUGGAAAGACACCAAAACCUCAGCAUCUCUGCUCUACUGCUGCUUAAGGCAUAUCCCAGAUCAAGGUGAUGGGAGGGGAAAUGUGGUCAGGCAUUGAGUGUUAACCCCAGGCAGCUGAUGCCCAAAGCUCGUGGAGUUCACCCUCCUCCAAUCAACAAGGGCUCAUUGAGUGUUUUUUCCCCACAGACUCCACCAUCGCCCAUGUACGACGGGACAGGGUGAGUUGUGGCACAGCUUUGCACAGCUCCUUUCUGCACUCCUGCAGCCUGGUGCACGCUCAUUCUGCAGGGCUCACAGUCAGCAGCUGAAGUAACAGGGUUUCAUUUCUCCCUAAAGCCUCGUCCUGUGCAGCACAUGAGCGACACCACUACAUAUGCCACAGUGACUCGAACUCAGACCCGAUAGCGCUGCCACAGGGCAAGGGCACAGGAGCCUUGCCCACGGCUGCUUUUAUUCUUUUGUAGGGGGCUCUUGAAGCCAUAUCAUGGGGCUGGGGGGUGCACUUUAGGCUUCUCUGGGAUUUUCUGUUACAGGAAAUGCUGUGUGUAUCUAGCCAAGAGGAUGAAGGACUCAUAUCUCUGUUUGCAAUCAAUGGGUUUUUCCUCAUAUUAAACCAUCUCCCUGUGCUCACUGGAAAUUAUGUAUUCCUAAAUUGCAUGAUAAAGUCACAGGGCUGGUCUUCCAUGCACCCACACUGAUGCACAUUUGAACCUAUAGGGACCGGUAUCACUGCAGGGAUGUGCUUGCAUGUGUCUGCCAACUGGUGUGUGUGCUGCAGAUGUGGUUUUGUUUAGAAGAAAAUUACACAUCUCUGGAUGUCCAUAAAUCCACUGACCAUGAUGGGAUGCUCAAGAUGCACAUGCCAGGAGCUGAGGGAUUUGGUGAAAGUCAUUGCUAAGCCAUUCUCCAUCAUCUUUGGUAAGUCAUGGGCAUCAGGACUGGUGCUGGAGGACUGGAGGAAAGUAAAUUUUACUCCAGUCUUCACAAAGGGAAAGAAGGAUGACCCAGGUAGCUAUAGAUCAGUCAACCUCACCUCCAUCCCUGCAAAGCUGAUGGAACAACUUAGCCU
rnacentral:lncRNA from 1 species